rnacentral:tRNA from 1 species
AGAGAUAUAGUUUAAUGGUAAAAUACUGGUCUCCAAAACCAUUGAUGUUGGUUCGAUUCCCACUAUCUCUA